ACGUGUGUGUGUGUGUGCCUGCACGGCUGUCUGUCAGUUUCUAGCUUGCCUGCAUCAUAGGCAAGCAGACAUUCGUUUUCUAGCUGGAUUUUGUAUUUAUUUAUUUUUGUAAGCUCCCUCUCUCUCUCAAACCAUCUGUAUGGUAUGUUGAGCGCUGUGUCUUGAUCCUAACUGUCUGUUCGGCCUGUCUAUAUUACUGUACUUUCUACCACAACUCUACUGGGCUCUCUUUAACAGCUGGUGGUGUUCUCGUUGGAUUGACUCUUAGAUAUAUACCACAGAACAACUAGAUUGGACACUAGACAACUUUCCUGUCUUUUCGUGUUUUGUGUCGUGUUUAUAUAUAUAUAUAUACAUACAUACAUAACGUAUACAGAAAAAAAAACAUUUAAUCAAGUAUCUGUUUCAUUACAAUCAACAGACAAGUGCCCUUUUUUUACAACACUUUUGCAUCUAUCUGUGCGUGUUUUUUUUCGAUUGUGUUUAAACUUCCAUUUACACCACCUAUUAGUCUUUCUUCAUACGCUGACUAUAUUCUAAAUCGACCACCUUCGCAAAAUCAACGAAAUCGAAUGAUCGACCGUAUGUUUUGCAGGAAAAUGUUCGUCUCUGGACACUCGGUUGCCGAUUGCCGUGUAAAAUCGUGUUUAGUAGUUUUCCCCAUCUCUCUACUUCCUUAUCAUUGUUAUUGUUUCUCUUCUCUGCAGCAGCACCGAUGAAGAAGAAAAGUAUUUCGCUAUAGCUUUGGAUGCUGACUCCCUCUCUCUUUCUCCAUCUCUCUAUCUCCCUCUCUCUCUCUCGCAUUCUCAUCUACUCUUUUGCAAAACUUGGCAGUUUCACCUGUCAGAUGUGAAGUAAGCUUUUACGCCAGCAUACUUUUUUCUAAGGUAUGGCCUUCUGCAUACUGAAUUCAAAGGAUUACAGAAUUAAUCAUGUUGGAGAUGACUACACCUAAUUCAUUGAUGAGUGAAAAAUCUUUUAUAGCAAACCAGGCGAUCUGGCUACAGCAUGAGCAGAUGGCUCAUCUGCAGACGAUCAGGUUGAAGCGUCAGCUGGUGAAAGCUGGACAUGUGCCCUCAAUGGUGUAUGGCCAGUUAGUUGGCUGCUCUGACCAGCUGGUGAUCAUGGCAGACAGUGGCGCCACAGUGUCGUCACUGGCAAGCCACCACGACCUGAACAGUAUGGCAUUGAGCGCUGCUGCAGUAGCCGCGGCUACUUCACACCACCAUGAUCUCACUGCCAUGCAGAAACGCAUUCCAUUAACUUUUCGUGACCCUAGCCAUGCACCACUGCGUAAACUUAGUGUGGAACUUAUUAAGACUUAUAAACACAUAAAUGAGGUAUACUAUGCAAAGAAGAAACGACGAGCACAACUGCCACAUGAUGAAUCAAUACAUAAGAAGGGACGUACGAAUGUACCUGUCUAUAACGACGGCUACGAUGAUACAAACCAUGACUAUAUCAUUACACCUGGAGAGAAAUGGAUGGAUCGUUAUGAAAUUGAUUCUUUAAUUGGAAAAGGCUCUUUUGGCCAGGUUGUGAAGGCCUAUGACCAUGUUGAUUUAGAAUAUGUUGCGGUGAAAAUUAUAAAAAAUAAGAAGCCAUUCCUUAACCAGGCACAAAUUGAAGUGCGCCUGCUUGAACUCAUGAACAAACAUGAUAUAGAAAGCAAAUACUACAUAGCCGGAGAAUUGCGGAAUUCUUCCGGGACAGUAGUGAAACUGAAAAGGCAUUUUAUGUUCCGAAACCACUUGUGCCUAGUAUUUGAACUCUUAUCCUACAAUUUAUACGACUUACUACGAAACACCAAUUUCCGAGGGGUAUCUUUGAAUUUAACUCGAAAAUUUGCCCAGCAGUUGUGUACAGCACUAUUGUUCCUUGCCACACCUGAGUUGAACAUCAUUCAUUGUGACCUGAAACCUGAAAAUAUAUUACUGUGUAAUCCCAAACGCAGUGCAAUCAAAAUAGUUGAUUUUGGCAGUUCCUGUCAAUUAGGUCAAAGGAUUUAUCAAUAUAUCCAAAGUCGUUUCUACCGAUCACCUGAAGUGUUACUAGGAAUUGCCUAUGAUUUGGCCAUUGAUAUGUGGAGUCUCGGCUGUAUAUUGGUAGAGAUGCAUACAGGAGAACCACUCUUUGCUGGUUCUAACGAGUUUGAUCAAAUGAUGAAAAUUGUAGAAGUACUGGGAAUGCCACCCAAGCAUUUAUUAGACCAGGCUCCAAAGGCCAGGAAAUAUUUUGACCAGCAUCCAGAUGGUAUCUAUGUAUGUAAAAAGCCAAAAGAUGGUAAAAAAUAUAAACAGCCGGGUUCUCGGAAACUACAUGAUAUAAUUGGUGCUGAAAGUGGGGGACCUGGAGGUCGGAGGGCAGGGGAACCUGGGCAUAAUUUGGCAGACUAUCUUAAAUUUAAGGACCUUAUAUUAAGAAUGUUAGAUUAUGAUCCAAAGACACGCACCACACCCUAUUAUGCCCUCCAACAUAAUUUUUUCAAGAAGACCACAGACGAAAGCACUAAUACGUCCAGCAGUACAUCAGGUAGUCCAGCCAUGGAGCAACAGUCCGUGUCCAGCCCACCAGCAUGGUCCACUGAAAGAGAAAGGAUCCGUCCACGAGGUUUUGUUCCACAUAACGGUUUGUUUCGUCGAUGAUAUAUGUCCCAAAGAUCGAAUCCCUCUGAAGAAAAUCUGGAAAAAUCUUACAGCUCCACCAUCGUCAUCGGUGUCAGUAUCCCGGCGGGACAAAUCCUUCAUCCAACUAUCCAGGACAAGUUAACAUUCAGUGAAUUUUCCCUUUUAGGUGGACAUGCAAGAUCUGAUUGGACUCAUCAGCAUCAUUUCCAGUAUCAGCAUCAUUGUCCUUCUGCAGCACCAUGGUCUGCAUCCCCCCCUGAUGGAGGCCGGUGGAGGACACCGUAUUGCCAGAGAUGUGGGAGGUUAUUCGAACUUCUUCUCUGUUUACCUGAUGACCACCUUUCCCAGAGAUUAGCAAGUGAAUGCUAAAAGAGCCUGUUAGUCCUGAAACUGCAGUGCAACAGCUACCACUUUUACAGACAUCUGGCAGGACUGGUCACUUUCAGACCACUUCCACUCUCAUCAUCCACCAGAUCAGUCAAUCAUUCAUUGGCUCACUCUACACAUUAGUGUGCAUGUGUAUGUAUUUGUAUGCAAGUGGGACAUCAACUGUGAUGAUAAUGUGUUAUAAUACCUUGUAGGAACAUCCUACAUCAAACCACCCCAGUGCUACCUUUAGUACAACUAAUAGACUGUUAUCAACCUUCAUUGAACAAACAAACAAACAAACAAAACAAAACAAAAAUAUUAAAAAAAAAAAUUUGCUGGAGAGAGAGCUUGAAGUAGAGGAUGGUAUGUUCUUUAUUGUAGCAAUAUCUGUAACUGGUGGAGGGGUGGUGCUGUAGAAAUCUGGUUAUCACCAUCAGUUGCAUGUACAACAAACCUCAUGUUUACCACCAUCUUCUUCACAGGUAUCCUAAUGUCAUUCAUUUCAAGAAGCCAUCUAACAGUUGUGACUAUGGCAGUUAAAGGUGGCUACUUUGUUGGAAGCGGAUUUCAAUGAUUUCAAUUAAGCCAUCACUGUCUUUCAUGGUCGCACUAUGCAUGAGCACAAUUUUGGGGGAUGUGCUUUCAAACCUGUCCAACAUGUCUUCCUCAUAGCAAUUUAUCCAAACAGCUUGGUCAUAAUUUCUAACAUCAAAAACCUUCUCUGCUCAUCUCAAUUUGAAACAAGCAGUACUCACACUGAAAAAGUUAACGUUGUGAAACAGAACUGGUCAACUAACUCAAGUGUCUCCUUGGUCAAAAUCUUAACCCUCCAGAUGACAUUGACAUCGCCACUCCACCCCCACUAGUCUGGCUGUUGUCUUUAUUUACAAGCCUUGCAUACCAAGUUGCAACAGCCUUUUUAUGACAAAAGAACCGAACAAAAGAUUAACAUGAUAGGGAAGAGUUUUUCAUUUUGGUAAUAUGUUCAUCAGUCCAACAAUCGAUUUUAUUUAUUUAAACUUUAUAUCAUAAUUAUUUUUUUUAUUAGACUCAUCAGCAACCAGAUGAUGAUGAUGAUGAUAAUGAUGAUGAUAAAACCUGUAUGAAACUAAGAAUGAUGAGGAAUCAAAAAUUAGGAAAUUUAACAUUGUUUCCUCCAUCAUAAACUCCUCUGUCAGCUAAUUUUGGAGAAAAUGACUGGUUGUGGUUUUGCUUUUUAUUUUCAUUUUUAAUUCUUUUAAUCAAACCUAUAAUUUAUUAUGUCAAUUUCCAUUAAUUAUAUUCUCUGAUGGGGUCAGUAUUCAUGGAAAUAUGCUUCAUGUUCCCUUAGGGUACCAGCUCAACUUAUUUAGCAUGUAGCAAUAAUGUAUUACAGCUUGUGACCCAUCAAGAAGUGGAACGCCAGAUAAGAAGGCCUCAACCAAUCACCUCUAGUAUCCUUCUGCAAGGAAAGCUUGCCACCGGUAUUUUAUAAUCUGUGAACAUCACAAUCCAAUUCAUAGUUUCCAAAAAAAAAAAAAAAAAA